AAGGUGGGGCUGAUGACUGGGGUGAAGUCGUAACAAGGUAGCCGUACCGGAAGGUGCGGCUGGAUCACCUCCUAACAGGGAGACAAACAACGAUUUUGAUGUCUGAGUUUUUUUAUUCUUAGGCCAAAAUCCUGUCACCUUAGGUCGAUCGGUACCUCAACUUUGAAGCUAAGAGUAUUCAGCAAUGGAUAUCUGCUUAGUGGAGAUUUUUAGUUCCUAAACUUUGUCUAGUUCACAACCCAUUAGGGAUGAGACUCCUGGGCCAUUAGCUCAGGUGGUUAGAGCGCACCCCUGAUAAGGGUGAGGUCCCUGGUUCAAGUCCAGGAUGGCCCAUUCGGUGUAGGGGGUUUAGCUCAGUUGGUAGAGCGCCUGCUUUGCAAGCAGGAUGUCAGGAGUUCGAGUCUCCUAACCUCCACUGACUACCAAAAUCCCCAUCUCCAAAACCUGGAGUAUGAACUCGUAUGGAUUGUGAUUUAGAUGUGUCCGCUAGAUGACCCUAGCUUCUUGUCAUUUUAAGGCAUGGAAAUAGUUCCAUGAUAUUUAAUUGAUAGGAUGCUGGGCUCGAUUCAAUGUAUUGAGAGAUCAAUGCAUUGUUUUGAUGUCUGGUCGAACCUUGACAACUGCAUAGUAAGUCUGGAAAGAAUAAAGCAUCUUUAUGGAUGCAUCAUUCUUGAGUGUUAAUUCACGAUGGGAUGGUGUUAAUUCUAAAGCAAGAGCCGAGACUCCAGCAUGUUCUUUCAAAUGUGUCGAGCAUUUGAGAGUUUGAUUUUAAUUUCUAUUUUUAGAAGUUAGAAGAAUCUGUUUCAACGACAGCAAGCGUGUUGGAGAUACAUUGGUCAAGCUACAAAGGGCU
rnacentral:misc_RNA from 1 species